UACGUAGGGGGCAAGCGUUGUCCGGAUUCAUUGGGCGUAAAGAGCGUGUAGGCGGCCAGGUAGGUCCGUUGUGAAAACUGGAGGCUUAACCUCCAGCUGUCGAUGGAAACCAUCUGGCUAGAGUCCGGAAGAGGAGAGUGGAAUUCCUGGUGUAGCGGUGAAAUGCGCAGAUAUCAGGAAGAACACCCGUGGCGAAGGCGGCUCUCUGGGACGGUACUGACGCUGAGACGCGAAAGCGUGGGGAGCAAACAGG
rnacentral:rRNA from 1 species